rnacentral:rRNA from 1 species
GCAUUCGGGAAAAGUAAGACGGAUGAUGCAAUGGCNGUNGUCAUCUCNUGUUGUGAAAUGAUGGGUUAAGUCCCGCAACGAGCGCAACCCUUAUCCUUGUUUGCCAGCACUUCGGGUGGGAACUCCAGGGAGACUGCCGGUGAUAAACCGGAGGAAGGUGGGGACGACGUCAAGUCAUCAUGGCCCUUACGAGUAGGGCUACACACGUGCUACAAUGGCGCAUACAGAGGGCGGCCAACUUGCGAAAGUGAGCGAAUCCCAAAAAGUGCGUCGUAGUCCGGAUUGGAGUCUGCAACUCGACUCCAUGAAGUCGGAAUCGCUAGUAAUCGUGGAUCAGAAUGCCACGGUGAAUACGUUCCCGGGCCUUGUACACACCGCCCGUCACACCAUGGGAGUGGGCUGCAAAAGAAGUGGGUAGUUUAACCUUCGGGAGGACGCUCACCACUUUGUGGUUCAUGACUGGGGUGAAGUCGUAACAAGGUAACCG